AAAGAUAAGUGGCUCAUGAGCGAUGACUAGGUUUCAUGCCACACUGUGAUAUGUGCCUCCCUAAGCCUCGUCAGGACAUAUGAUUGGGCACAUGACCCAUCUGAUG